GAAAGCCCAAAGGGAGCAGGUCCGGGUGGAACAGGUCCUCAAGGAGCAGCAGCAAUUGUGGUGGAAACACGGGAAUACCCAGAGGCAGAAGUUGCUGCAGCAUGUGCCCGGGCAGCAGAAAGGAUUGCAGUGUCACAAGCAGCCAAGGUGUUGCAAUCAGCAAUAGCUGAGCUCAAAGAGAAGAGGAGCAGCAUGUGGCUAAAGCCGAAGAACAUCACUCAGCAGCAGGAGGAGGACUGGGUGGAAGAGGGAAAGGUGAAAUGAAAUGAAGGAGAGCUGGUGUUCUGGACCAUACCUGAUGGGGAGCAGGUACCCUGGCACCAUGACAGCUCCUCAAGUGCAGUAGGGCUGCUGGUUACAUCUCUUUUGUGACUGCCCGUGCUAUUAAAAAUAAAGAUAUGCCAUAUUCCA